AUGUAUGGUACAGCAGCGCGUGGCCACUGUUUGUAUCGUAUCGUGACGCGCCGACGCACGCUGAGGGACCGCAGAUGCGCCCGCUGCACAGUACCGGGCGGCGAGAUCGGCGUACACGAAUACGCAUACUGACAUACACAAAACACCGCUGAGUGGUCUGCAUUGUAACAAGUGAUGAGAGACGGAAACCUCCUCCCUCCUCCCUUCUUUUUUUUUUCCUGCCAGAGGUCACAAUCAAUCAGACGGGACGGAAACGAGUCGGGCCGGCGCGCCACCUUUGCAGCAUGUGUGAGUUACGGCUUCCAUGUUGGCAGGCGAUGAGCGCGGGAGAAUCAUCGCCGGCUCCGCUCACGAUGGACCACACGCGCACAAAAUGGCUACGGCUGGAAAAAGGCAAUUACACCCCCCACACCCCCCUCCCUUAAUCCCAACGAUAACAUGCAAACGCACGCACGGGAACAUAGACGUGACCUCUGAACCCCUGAGCUCAUCCACGUAGUUGAGAGGUUUUUCAGCACAAUUAUACCAAAGGAUUCUCUCCUUUACGCUCCAGUCCAAUUAAAGUAAUCAGGUGUGUGAAAGUGGGGCGUUGGAUGCCGAUCGGGAUAAUGACAGCGGGGGAAAAAGAGAGGCGGGGAUCUGUAACCGUACGCGGCAAAGAGUCGGAUUAAAGCCGAGAGACAGCGACACACGCUCAACGUCACGCCUCAACAUCUCUACGGCUCUCGUCUGUUUCAGGUCGACCUGAAACAAAAGUUUUCCUCCAUUUAAUGACAAUCGAGACUAAAGGAUUAAAAGCAACUUGCAUUUUUUGAUUGACUUUAAAACGAUUUGUCAAUAAUUUCCUCGAUUAACUAUUUUGUAUAAUAAACAUCAGAAAACUGAAAAUCAGUUCAGAAUCUUGAUGAAUAGAUUAGCAGUGCAGAAUAUCAAUACGAAUUAAAGUGUAAUAAAAAUUGAGACCUUAAGAUAAUUUUAUAACUCAUUUUCUAUAUAAAAAACUGAUUUUUAUAACAGUUAAACUAGCCUUUAUAGACUAGGGACUAAUAAAUGCGCCCAAACUAAAAUAUCGACCAACGUCACUCUGUGCCUCAGAAUACUUCCUCCCAUAGACAAGUAUUGAUUAGAAGUCCGGUACAUCAUCACGUUCGCCUCCAUGGUUCUCGUACGUGACACGCAGCUCUUUGUACGCGAGCGCUGCUCUGCAGAUCUCCAUCUCGCAGCGCUAAACAACCAGCCGUGUGACAGCACAUGACGGGUACGGCUCCAGACGAGUCCAUUGUCCAGCUGCUCCAUAUACAGUACGUGGACUUGCGGGUUUCCUUCCUCACUGCUGAAAAGACUCUGCAAGGAUUGUUCUGCACCCCUGCUGACUAAUUUUUUUUUUGUGAUGGGUGGACCGGACCAGAGGACACACCCACCGACAGAGCGGAGGGAAAUCGAUACGCGGGCCCCGGGGCCGGAAUCAGACAUCAAUAUUGGGAUGAGCGUGACCGUGGAGAAGGUGGAGCUGAUGGCGUCCCGUGGCGGCCUCUCUCACCCCGGUGUGACGAGAUGAAGAGAAAGCACAAAUCCCCGCAAAAAACAAAACCCACUAACUACCGCAGAGAGGGAAAUAAUAUUCACAGAGAACUAGACAAAGGGCACGCUAGCACACAUGCAUUACGCCGAUGAACAUGCACGUGCACGUAGGCGUGCAUCACCAGAGAAACACAGGCACAGAUUUCUGGCCCUUUUCUAAUCGACGGUCGAGUGCAUGCAUGCAUUGAUCUGCCAUUGAUUCCAUCAGUGCGUGUGUGUGCGUGUGUGUGUGUGUGUGUACAUGGGACUUGACAUGCACUAAUGUCGAUGGUAAUGUGGGUUUAUGUGCCGUGUUGCCAGCUUGUUAGGUAGCUAAUACAACAAUGCAUUCUACCUUCAUCGAGGUUAUACUGUUCAAUUUAUGUUCAACGGUUUUAAAGAGGCGUUGAUUGAAUUUUAUGGUCAUUUCGGCGGCCGUGGUUACAGUGGUGUUAAAUUAUGCAGCUUUGUAAUGCAAAGUGCUGCUAAUUUUGUUCACACAUUUUACAUCAACGAGGCUCGGCCUCUUGUUAGAAACACCAUUCAGUGGGAGGCUAAACAGUUCAAGAGCAACAACAAACUCCAACCUUAAUUAAAUGUGUAAUUUACUUUUUAAUAUAUAAUUAAUUUAUAUUUGUUUAUACGUUUAUAUAUCAAAUACAUUUGCCAAAGAUUCUCUGGAUUUGUUGCAGGUCUCUUUUAUAGAAUUGAUAAUUGUGAUAAUCUUUUUUCAGACUGCUGGUUGGACAAAACAAGCAGAUGUCGGCCUCUGGGAUGAAGAGGUGAAUCAAUUGAUAAUGUGAAUCAGUAGCUGGUGGCAGCUCACAAAGGCCCCAAAUAAACAGGAACCACACAGAGACGACGGAGCGGGACGUCACCAUGACAACCUUCAAACACCCUUGCAAUGACUCCUCAGCAGAGCCCAUUGAACAGGGUCAAACAUUACAAAUCAUAACCCCUGAGUGACUCACUACAGCGGCCAACGACAAAAAGAAACCCGCACAAAAACCACAUAAACCCAUCCGGUCACAUCGGCCAUCUUCCCCCCCUCCUUCCUCUUUCUCACCCGCUGCUCCCCACGUUCAGGGAGCCAAUAUUUCUUUGCUCAUAAUCCCAUAAAAUCAGGGCACCGUGUUCAUAUUUCUCCCGCCUGCCGGGUAGUUCAGCUGCACA
ensembl:lncRNA